AGUGAACGCUGGCGGUAGGCCUAACACAUGCAAGUCGAACGGCAGCACAGUAAGAGCUUGCUCUUACGGGUGGCGAGUGGCGGACGGGUGAGGAAUACAUCGGAAUCUACUUUUUCGUGGGGGAUAACGUAGGGAAACUUACGCUAAUACCGCAUACGACCUACGGGUGAAAGCAGGGGAUCUUCGGACCUUGCGCGAUUGAAUGAGCCGAUGUCGGAUUAACUAGUUGGCGGGGUAAAGGCCCACCAAGGCGACGAUCCGUAGCUGGUCUGAGAGGAUGAUCAGCCACACUGGAACUGAGACACGGUCCAGACUCCUACGGGAGGCAGCAGUGGGGAAUAUUGGACAAUGGGCGCAAGCCUGAUCCAGCCAUACCGCGUGGGUGAAGAAGGCCUUCGGGUUGUAAAGCCCUUUUGGUGGGAAAGAAAAGCAGCAGGUUAAUACCCCGCUGUUCUGACGGUACCCAAAGAAUAAGCACCGGCUAACUUCGUG
rnacentral:rRNA from 1 species